AAGUGGAAGAAUUUAAAUUCCUGAGUUUGCUGGCUAAAGGGAAUUGAAAUACCCCUUUUAACAUAUUGAAAGCCACUUCUUACCAAUAGAUAACAGGUUUUCCAAGAUAAAAGUUAGCUUUUAACAGUCUCAGGUGAUUUUUCUUAUCAUUAUAGAAUUCCUCAUCAUCUUCAACAGAUGUAGACGAAGAUGGCCUUUGGCCCAAUUCUCUUGUGGAAGAUUACAAUCUUAGAGCCUUAGGAACCAAAGUCUGUAAGCCAAGGGGCCUUCAGUCUCCAUUCUAGUAAGACUCCUGGGAAACUUCCGUAUUAUUCCAGAAUUCUGAAAACUACUAUCACUGACUUUUCCAGGCCACUUUUCUUGGUCCUGCACUCCAAUUCCAGGGAUUUCUUUACACUGGCCAGUUAUUC
rnacentral:lncRNA from 1 species